UAGAAAGGCAAAUGAAAAACUCCAAUUGAGAAAUAGGUCUGCUGGUGGGGAAAAAAAUAAUGCUGCGUGUAGAAAUCUCUAAGCUUUCAUCCAUUUCUAGGAAACUGGAAUGGGAGGAGCAUUCCUCCUACUCCUGAAGACAUCUGCAGUGUGGGGAUAUAGGGAAACUACUGCAGUACAAGCAUGACUUUGGCAAAUUAAAGUUUGUCAGAAUCUCAGCAAACUUUCCACUGAUCUGGGUUCACUUAUGCUUUUGUUACAGUUCUGGGCUUCUUUCUGAUGUUUCCCUUUGGACGUGUACUUUAAAACUAUUUCAUGAACUUGAGAUGCUUGAUUGUCCGCACAGUCUCAAGAGUAAGCAAGAUAUUUCUUUCUAUGGUCGUCUUCUUCCUCCUCCUCCUGCCUCGUUUUCAACUCAGCAUCUGGCAAAGAUGGACAAACUCUGGGACGUAAAAAUUCCCUUAACUAUUUACUAUGGUAAAAAGCAUUCUUUUUUUACCCUUGAGAGGAGCACAAAGAGACUCCCUAAAGGAAGGAAGAACUUCCUAAUGUGAAAAUAAACUACUAGAAAAUACAGCCCUGGCCCAUUUAUAAAAAGAGAACAGAUGCAGCAUGGAAGAAACAGUAAGAGAAUGCUUUUUCUUUGUACCUCCUUUUGGUUGAAGUUGGCAAAAUGAAAGCAAAGGCUGGUCAGCACAUUUUCCAUCAUAAUCUAAGACUACGCAGAUGGAUCACAAAGAACUUCAGCAGUCAACACUACAUGCUUUAACGCGGACUAAAGCAAACUCAAGAUAAGCUUCAUCAAUAGCUAGAAGUGAACUUAAAAACAAAAAUGUUCAAAGCCAUUACGAAAUGAAAGCUACCUGUGAGGUACUGUGACACUAGAAGCUCCCAGGCUGAAUGAAAUAUGAAACUUGCUGGAAGAGUACAACACAGGUUACAUGCACCUUGCAACAGUUAUCCCACAAGGAUACAGAAAAGCUGAGAUGUUUUUUGAGAUCCAAGGGGAGGUUCAAGAAUUACAAUUAUAAAAAGCACAAGCACUUAGCGCUAACACCUCCAAACAGUAUCUCAAGUACAGGAAGGAUGGCCCCCAGACACAAGCCCUCAGAGCUGGACCUGAAGCAACAUGCUCUCAAGCUUCGUGAAGCCCGGAACCUCUCUCUGCUUCCAGCAGUGUGCAAAGACACCCUGCAGUACUAGGCUAUUAAUCAAUGCCUAAAGGCAAAACAAAAAGCUGUGUUCAGACUUCACACAGCUGCAACUUCUUCCACCUAAACCCCAGAGGUCCGAAAAUCUCUUUGAUUAGUAGGAACAAGUGUUCCACGAGUAACUAAUCCACAGAGGAGUAAGUGCGAGAGCAUCAAAGUGUCCAUAAACACUCAAAUUGCUCAGCACAGCUAGGCAUUCAGCCUUUAAAAAUGCAGCCUCACUGAGAAACUAUGCACCAUGAACAAACCAGUCACCAAGUACACCAAAGGCGAGGCAAAGAAACACAUCACUGAAACACUAUUUUGUGUUCCCACCAGUUUAACUCAUCUUCAUACAAAGACAGUAUGAAACAUAAGGUACUUUGGUUACCAUUAAAAAAGCAACACUUUAAUAUAAAACAUUAAGAAAUGGUGUCCUUAAGCUAGAUCAGGAGUCUCGUAUCCUUAAAGACUGUGUUAAGUGUGAAGCUGUCAGUAGCAUUAGUAUUCACUAACGACAAGAGGAAUUUUGUCCCAUUUAUAACAAGCUGUUAUGCUUUCCCUAUCUGUGAAAAGCCAGUGCAGUCAAGCCAUGGGAAAUAUAAGAAAAUUACUGGAAUUAGCAGGGGUGUAUACGUUUCUGUGUUUCUAGGAAGGCUGAAGUACGAGAAUUUCACAGAUGUGGGGACUUUUGAGAGCGUUCCAAUUGAAACAAACUUGCAACAAACCCUGCGGAGAGGUUCAUUCAACAGGAUGAGCUAACCAAGAAAACAGUCAUUUCUGGCUAGUUGCAUCAAUAUUAGCAGCAGCUGUGAACUCGGUAAACAGCUCUGUUUUCUGGUUGUCAAAGAGCUGCUAAAGCAGAUGUGAAACUCAUCAAAAAUAGGUCACGAGCAGAGAACAUGCAAGGGAAUGCAUCAAUACCAGAGUGAUCUGAAAAUAAGCAAUGCUGGAUUAUCUCAAUAGUGUUUAUUACCCCCAAAUUGUACCUAACACACAACGGCAACCAACAUACUCUUUAAUGUGAUUGCUAUGACAGGAUCUUCCUCAUAGCACAGUGGGUGAAUAAGGGUGUGGUGUUUUCAGCAGCUGAAGUACCAGAAAGAAGAAAAGGUACUGAAUUGCUCUCUGCUUACUUCUGAAUGAGGUUUUCUGAGGCAGGUUUUCAUGCCUGUCCUUCUUCUCAAACUCUAAUCAUCUCAGACUGAGGUAUCACAAUAAGCCAAACACAGAAUUCGCCACAGCUUAUUUUACUUUUGCCACUACAAACAGAUUACAAGUACACUCUGUCCGAUAGGCAACCCUCCAGCAACAGCCAUUCCUCCACGGGCAGGAAUCGUGGCCAACACAGCAAUGACCUUCCCCCCUCGUGGCCCACAGGACUCACUUCCUCAGAAUUCCCCCAUACGGAAAUUCACUUGGAUCUACUUCUAGGACUCUCACAGUAUGUAAAACACUUAACUUUCUUUACUGUCAAGAAUAUAAAGGCAGAAGGCUUAGCUCUAAAGGAAACAGACUAAGAAAAAAAAAUGGCGUGCUUCUUCUACAGUGGGACUAAACAAGGAACCUGUAUGUCCUGCUAUUGCUGCACCGAAUCUCCAUGGCCAUCCUUCACAGUGCAGGUGUGAGGCUGCCUUUGGCCAAAUGCCUUCAACAAGCUGAGUUGAAGCCCCAUAGCCUGAAGCAGACAAGUACUUCCCCAGUCAGUCAGUUACUGGGUGAGGACAGACACUCUCUUCUCUGGUUGUUUCCACUUCCACUACAAUGGCAGAUUUUACCUCCAACACCUAAUGACAUCAUAUAAUAAAACACUAGUAAGGAGGAGCUAGUCAAACCAACAAACAGAAAAGCCACUGUUAGCCUGAAAGUUAAUGUCAUGUUCAAAUGGGAGAAAACAGGUCUUCGGGAAGCAUUCAGAAAAAAUACUCCUUCAUUUAAGUAGCAGCAGCUCAGAAUAAAGCACUGAAAAAAAUAGAAACCGUGAAGAGGCUUCAGUUUAUUGAUGUUCCAAACCAGCUUUCCAGAAUUUCAGAAGAGAGGGAGGAGAGAGGGGGGAAAAGAGUUCACAUCCAACUUAAAAGAAAUCCCAUGACUUAUCUCAGUCGGAAGCCUUUGCUGAGCCAAAUGUAUGUGCAUUUUAGCACACAUUUCCUAUACCACAGAACCUAGGGUGAAACAUGGUUGUUGAUUACCAUAUUAAAACGGGUGUC
ensembl:lncRNA